rnacentral:rRNA from 1 species
ACUCCUACGGGAGGCAGCAGUGGGGAAUAUUGCACAAUGGGCGCAAGCCUGAUGCAGCCAUGCCGCGUGUAUGAAGAAGGCCUUCGGGUUGUAAAGUACUUUCAGCAGUGAGGAAGGUGGAUAUGUUAAUAGCAUAUUCAUUGAUCGUUAGCUGCAGAAGAAGCACCGGCUAACUCCGUGCCAGCAGCCGCGGUAAUACGGAGGGUGCGAGCGUUAAUCGGAAUUACUGGGCGUAAAGCGCAUGCAGGUGGUUUGUUAAGUCAGAUGUGAAAGCCCGGGGCUCAACCUCGGAAUUGCAUUUGAAACUGGCAAACUAGAGUACUGUAGAGGGGGGUAGAAUUUCAGGUGUAGCGGUGAAAUGCGUAGAGAUCUGAAGGAAUACCGGUGGCGAAGGCGGCCCCCUGGACAGAUACUGACACUCAGAUGCGAAAGCGUGGGGAGCAAACAGGAUUAGAUACCCUGGUAGCUACGAGU